rnacentral:rRNA from 1 species
UACGAAGGGGGCUAGCGUUGCUCGGAAUCACUGGGCGUAAAGCGCUCGUAGGCGGAUUGUUAAGUCGGGGGUGAAAUCCUGGAGCUCAACUCCAGAACUGCCUUCGAUACUGGCAAUCUUGAGUCCGGGAGAGGUGAGUGGAACUCCGAGUGUAGAGGUGAAAUUCGUAGAUAUUCGCAAGAACACCAGUGGCGAAGGCGGCUCACUGGCCCGAUACUGACGCUGAGGCACGAAAGCGUGGGGAGCAAACAGG